rnacentral:tRNA from 1 species
CACCCGAUGACUGAAAGUAAGUGUAGGUCUUUUAAACCUAAAAUAGUAUAAUAUACUUCUGGUGC